rnacentral:rRNA from 1 species
UACGAAGGGAGCGAGCGUUGUUCGGAAUCACUGGGCUUAAAGCGUGCGUAGGCGGGCAGGAAGGUCAGAAGUGAAAGCCCCGGGCUUAACCCGGGAACUGCUUUUGAAACUUCCUGUCUAGAAACCGGAAGAGGUUAGCGGAAUACCCAGUGGAGAGGUGAAAUUCGCAGAUAUUGGGUGGAACACCAGUGGCGAAGGCGGCUAACUGGUCCGGCAUCGACGCUGAGGCACGAAAGCGUGGGUAGCAAACAGG